UAACCUCUACACCAACCUUACCCCUCCCCCUCUUCCUGGAGGAGCUAAAGCAGAAAGUGCCGUUCCGUGAUUCACUGGACAGAAAAGAGGGAGGAGGCGGCAAAGAACGCCUGGUGCCAAAACUAAGUAAGUUGGCGGACAAAACGCACCCAUCUUUCCGCGCCUCGGCCGGGUGCACCAACUCCGCGGAGACCUGCUGGGCUCGGCGUGGAACGGCCACCCGGGCGGGGACUCCGCUUCGCGCCCCCAAGCGCUCCAGCGGCCCGGAGACUCGGUGCCCGACGUUCCUGGACGAAAAGGGGGGUUAGCGGCGGAAAGAAAUCAGGAAACUGGGCUUUUUCCCCCCCCUCGCUUCGCCGCCUAGUGUCGGGGAGAUUGGCAAACGCUCUGGAGAGGACCGGGAGAAAUAGCCCUGGAAAAGUGGAGAGAGUGGUCAGGAAGUCAGUCCCCUUCAGGCAGCUGUUUAUCUGCUAGAGCCGGGGCGAGGCGUGGCGGCCCGACUUCCAGGGCUUUCCAGGUGCGGGUACGCCGGACGGCGGGUCCCAGCGACCCGCGCGCGCCCGCGAGAGCCUCGCCCCGCAGCGUCCAGGGCGCUCUGGCAGGGAAAGCCCCCACAGAAGGGGGCUCUCAAUGCCUUACUAGACUUUUUUCUCCCGACAGCUUUUGGGUGGAAGCAUUAACUUUGCGUGGAAGCCGCUCGCUCGGGGGAGCGGGGAGGAGGAGAAAGUGAAAAUUGGAGGAGAAGAGCACUCCUUGUUUUUCCGACGUCUCACCACUUCUACAAGGUUGACGUUGUUGGAUGUGGUGACAGCUGAGAGGGGCGCAGGACUUGUUUCCAAGUGGAGCCGGUCCACCGCCUGCUCGGUCGACCCCUCCCGCGUGCAUGUGGGCGGCGGCGGCGGCGUGCGGUGCGUGGUUCUGCCAGUGGACUCUCAGCCGGGACCCGAGUGAAUGGCCCCCAGGGGCUGUGCGGGGCCUCCGCCUCCCCCGCCUCCUCGAGCCUGGGUCUGGCCGGGAAAGAUGCUAGCCAUGGGGGCGCUGGCAGGCUUCUGGGUGCUCAGCCUCCUGACCUAUGGUUACCUGUCCUGGGGCCAGGGCUUGGAGGAGGAGGAGGAAGCGACCUUUCGAGCUCAGUCUGGAGAGAGACCGGAGCCCAGUACGGCUGCCACCUCCCAACCCCAUCUCAUUUUCAUCCUAGCGGAUGAUCAGGGAUUCAGAGAUGUGGGUUACCACGGCUCGGAGAUCAAGACUCCCACUCUUGACAGGCUUGCUGCCGAAGGCGUUAAACUGGAGAACUACUAUGUCCAGCCUAUUUGCACACCGUCCAGGAGUCAGUUUAUUACUGGAAAGUAUCAGAUACACACCGGACUUCAACAUUCUAUCAUAAGACCUACCCAACCCAACUGUUUACCUCUGGACAAUGCAACCCUACCUCAGAAGCUGAAGGAGGUUGGCUAUUCAACACAUAUGGUUGGAAAAUGGCACUUGGGUUUUUAUAGAAAAGAAUGUAUGCCCACCAAGAGAGGAUUUGAUACCUUUUUUGGUUCCCUCUUGGGAAGUGGUGAUUACUACACACACUACAAAUGUGACAGUCCUGGAAUGUGUGGCUAUGACUUGUAUGAAAAUGACAAUGCUGCCUGGGACUAUGACAAUGGCAUCUACUCCACACAGAUGUACACUCAAAGAGUUCAGCAAAUCUUGGCUUCCCAUGACCCCAGAAAGCCUAUAUUUUUAUAUAUUGCCUACCAAGCUGUUCACUCACCACUGCAAGCCCCUGGAAGGUAUUUUGAACACUAUAGAUCCAUUAUCAACAUAAAUAGGCGGAGGUAUGCUGCCAUGCUUUCCUGCUUAGAUGAAGCAAUCAACAAUGUGACCCUGGCUCUGAAGACAUACGGUUUCUAUAACAACAGCAUUAUCGUAUACUCUUCAGAUAAUGGCGGUCAGCCCACAGCAGGAGGAAGUAACUGGCCUCUCAGAGGUAGCAAAGGCACAUACUGGGAAGGGGGCAUUCGGGCUGUUGGCUUUGUGCAUAGUCCACUUCUGAAAAACAAGGGAACAGUGUGUAAGGAGCUUGUGCACAUCACUGACUGGUACCCCACUCUGAUUUCACUGGCUGAAGGACAAAUUGAUGAGGACAUUCAACUGGAUGGCUAUGAUGUCUGGGAAACCAUAAGUGAAGGCCUUCGUUCGCCCCGGGUUGAUAUUUUGCAUAACAUUGACCCCAUUUAUACCAAAGCGAAAAAUGGCUCCUGGGCAGCAGGCUACGGGAUCUGGAACACCGCCAUCCAGUCGGCCAUCAGGGUGCAGCACUGGAAACUGCUUACAGGAAACCCUGGCUACAGUGACUGGGUUCCCCCUCAAUCUUUCAGCAACCUGGGGCCCAACCGGUGGCAUAACGAACGAAUUACCUUGUCGACUGGCAAAAGCGUAUGGCUCUUCAACAUCACAGCUGACCCAUAUGAGAGAGUGGACCUGUCUCACAGGUAUCCCGGAAUCGUGAAGCAGCUCCUACGGAGACUGUCACAAUUCAACAAAACCGCAGUGCCUGUCAGGUACCCCCCCAAAGACCCCAGAAGUAACCCUCGGCUCAAUGGAGGAGUCUGGGGACCGUGGUAUAAAGAGGAAUACAAGAAAAAGAAGCCAAGCAAAAAGAAGGCUGAGAAAAAGCAGAAGAAAAGCAAGACAAAGAAGAAACAGCAGAAAGCAGGUUCAUUUCCAAAUUGCCAUUCAGGUGUUUGCCAUUAUCGUGGAUAAGUACACAUUUUUUCCAAAAUUGGUUAAACUUAAGUCAGUCUUAGUCUUUUAGCUGUUUUCUAGGUAAACCAGCAAAUCUGGCUCAAUAAUAUCACUGCCAUUAGCACCAGACUUAUUUUCAUGUCAUGGUCACAAGGAAAACAGGUCUAUUUGCUGCCAAAGGUGCUACCAUUGCAAGCCACACUUGGAGGUUGGAUAGAGACGUUUAUUCCUUUUGCUCCUUUAUGAAAGUGCUCAUUAAGGAUUUCAGCUGUUGUGCUUCAGUCAAGGGACCAAACCCUUGCUUUCAACUGCAAUCAGAGGAGAUAAAACUCCCGUGAAAAGUGCCCUCCCUAUUCAAGAGGAAAGAAGACAUGCUUGUCACCAGAGAAGGGUUUUGCUCAAAGACCUAAGAGUUAACUUAGCCUUUCAAAGAUUACAGUGACAGUUGCUAAGAUAAGCUAUUAUUUCCCAGCUGGGAGAAGUGGCUGCAGUGACAGUCAGACUAGGUAAGUGAAUAAGUGGAGAGGUUUUUCCCUGUUUUUUUUUUCUUUGGCUCCAUGCCUGUGUACUUCCUAGCAUCUGAACUAUGGUUGGGCUGUUUCUUUCUGUCCUCUAUGGCUCCAUAUUUUACAUUUUUAGUACCUUCAUUAUCCAUCCCUGAGUCCCACACCACUUCCUGCCACAGAACUAGGCACAAAGACACCUGUGUCCAACAGAUUAUGGAAUCCAACAGAUUCCUCCCCUUUUAAAUUUCCCAUAAAGAGAUAAGUGUGUAGAGCUACCCUCAUCCCCACCGGUGACAGGACGUCCUAAGCCCCACACUUAAACCUUUAGCAGCAGAGAUCAUGUUAGAAGGGGAGCUGGGGGGAGGAAGAAGAAGUGUUUCCACAGGAAUAAGGUGAGAUACAUCUCCCUUCAGGUUUGAGCAGCUUAGCAGCUGCUGUUAGGGUACGGAGUCGACCACCCCUCAAUUAGACAGAGAACACUCUCAAUAAUGCAAGUCACACAGCGAGGUUUUUUUUCCAACUAGUUGGGGUCCAAGUAUCCCCCCCGCACAGCAGGUUUCAACAAGGACCCUGAGCACUCAAAGCCAAGAGUUUAUAUAGCAUUUCCAAGGCACUUUCCCAUAGCUACAUACAUAUCUUG